GACGAACGCUGGCGGCGUGCCUAACACAUGCAAGUCGAGCGAUGAAUCCCUUCGGGGUGGAGUAGCGGCGGACGGGUGAGUAACACGUGGGUAACCUGCGUCGUUGAGGGGGAUAGCCUGCCGAAAGGGAGAUUAAUACCGCAUAACAUAUUUUAAUAGCAUGAUUGAGAUAUCAAAGGACUCUUAUUCUUUGAGUAAGCGUCCACUAUGAGAUGGACGCGGGGCACAUUAGGUAGUUGGUGAGGUAACGGCUCACCAAGGCGACGAUGCGUAGCCGGGCUGAGAGGGUGAACGGCCACAUUGGAACUGAGACACGGUCCAGACUCUUACUGGAGGCAGCAGUGGGGAAUAUUGCGCAAUGGAGGAAACUCUGACGCAGCAACGCCGCGUGAAUGAUGAAGGCCUUAGGGUUGUAAAGUUCUGUCUUCUGGGACGAUAAUGACGGUACCAGAAGAAGAAGCCACGGCUAACUACGUGCCAGCCGCCGCGGUAAUAC
rnacentral:rRNA from 1 species